CUUCGAAUUGGAAAUUGUUCUUCUUGCCACAAAUGAUCUCCAGUGCUAAGACUCCAAAGCUAAACACAUCAGAUUUUGUUGAAUACAGUCCAUCCAUAGCAUACUCGGGUGACAUGUAACCACUGCAAUGGCACAGAAUUGGGAAAGUACCUUAUACACUAUGCCAAAGCCACCAUGUCCAAGCAUGUUAGCAGAAGAGAACUCCUCUGUGGCUUCAACUAUGGUGCUUAAAUAAAAAAAAGGAGGGAGUCAUUUGCUGUAUAAUGGUGGCUCAUCGGCUCGUUCAAAGAUCGGUCCACUGUUCCAGGCUAGCCAAUAAAGCAGAAAGCUCCAUGGUUUAUGGUUGAGAUGGAGACAUGUAAACGUUGACAAACCAACAGAUUGAAACUUUUCAGUCGGUGGUGAUUGUGAAAGAGGAAGACUGUGCGCAAAAGCCAAGUUCAGGAAGAACAGUCAAGGGGUAUCAGUAGAUGGAAUGAAGAACAAGUGAAGGAUGGUGACCUUUUAGUGUCCAAAGAAAGCAACUUUGAGUUGCGUUUCUUCAGCCCGGCAACUCUAGCAACCGGUAUGGAGGACUAGUGCUCUAUGCUCAUAACAUGGAGAGUAUUCCUAUGUGGUACACAAAUGUGUCGCAGUUGGUCCAAAACUCAAGCACUUUAUCUGCACAGCUUUUAGAUACAGGAAAUUUAGUUCUCUUCCAGGAUGAUAAAACUAGGAUAUUUAUAUGGCAAAGUUUUGAUUAUCUUACAGAUACUCUAAUCCCAGGUAUGAAAGUGGGGAUAAUUGGGAAACUGGGCUAGAAUGGAUUAUAACAUCUUGGAAGUCACAAGAUGACCCUGAAGCCGGGGACUAUACCGAUAGGCUGUAUUCAAAUCAAACUGCAAUCCAUGAAUUUUUGAUAUACAAAGGUACACACCGGUAUUGGAGAAGUGAUUAUUCUGGGAUUAAUUUUGUCAGGAACCAGUACAAUACUAAUAUGUGGUAUGGACAGUGUGGUGCCAACAGUUAAUGCAGCCCUGACAAUGCCAAGAUGUUCGAGUAUGAUUUACCAGGGUAUGAACUGAAGUCUUUAAAUGAUUGGAAUCAGAGAAAUGGGUCAGAUGGAUGUGUCAGUAAGCGAGUUGAAGUGUCAAAGUGUGGGAAUGGAGAAGGGUUUGUGCAGAUGGUAAAAGUCAAGGAGCCAGACACAUCCAAAUCUGCAAGGUAGGAAAGAAUUAUGAGUGCCAAAAAGUGCAAGCAGCACUGCUUAAGAAAUUGUUCUUGCACGGCAUAUAUGAGCAUGGACAUUGAAGGGCGCAUUGAUUGCUUGACAUGGUAUGGUGAGUUGCUGGACAUCACAGAGCACACUGCAGUGGGAUGAGAUCUUUAUGUUCAUGUAGAUCAUAUGGAGUCAGCUGAGAAUGCCAGAAAAUCAAAAGGCUUCUUUGGAAGGAGGGUGAUGCUGACUGUUCCAAUAUUGUCUGUUCUUCUGCCAUUGGUACUGGUCAUUGGCUUAAGAGGAAAACAGAAGAGGCCGAUGAACUUCAGGAAACGAGGAGACACCCAGAAUUACAGUUUUGCGAUCUGAACACACUAAAAGAUGCCACGGAAAACUUCUCUCCAGUCAAUGAACUUGACCAAGGUGGUUUUGGCUCAGUCUAUAAGGGUUAGUUACCAGACAACAAGAAGAUUGCUGUAAAAAGAUUGUCCAAAAAUUCAGGACAAGGGAUUGAAGAAUUCAAAAAUGAAUAGGUAGACUUCAACACAGGAAUCUUGUGAAACUGUUGGGAUGUUGUAUAAAGGGAGAAGAAAGGAUGUUAAUCCUGGAAUACAUGCCAUACAGUAACUUGGACUCCUUUCUUUUUGGUAUCACUCUAGCAAAUUUACAUUUGUAUAUGCCUUAUCCAAAGACAUGAGGAAAUGUAGCUACGACCAAUAAACAUGUACCCCAUUUAUUGACAUAAAACCCAAAUCUCUUGAUAUAGAUCAUAGAAGAAGCACAUCCUUAGAUUGGAACGAGCGCCUUGAAACUAUCAAUGGGAUUGCUCGCAGACUUCUUUAUCUUCACCAAGACUCGAGACUGUGGAUUAUCCACAGAGAUCUGAAAACCAGCAAUGUUCUUCUAGAUGCUGAAAUGAACCCAAAAAUUUCAUAUUUUGGCAUGGCAAGAAUAUUCCAUGGCGACCAACCCCUGGAGAAGACAAACAGAGUUGUUGGAACAUAUGGCUAUAUGUCACCAGAGUAUGUUGUAUUUGGAAUUUUUUUCACAAAAUCCGAUGUCUUUAGUUUUGGGAUCAUACUAUUGGAGAUUCUAAGUGGCAAGAAAAGUAGCGGUC